UACGUAGGGGGCUAGCGUUGUCCGGAAUCAUUGGGCGUAAAGCGCGUGUAGGCGGUCCGGUAAGUCCGCUGUGAAAGUCGGGGGCUCAACCCUCGGAUGCCGGUGGAUACUGUCGGGCUCGAGUCCGGAAGAGGCGAGUGGAAUUCCCGGUGUAGUGGUGGAAUGCGUAGAUAUCGGGAGGAACACCAGUGGCGAAGGCGGUUGCCUGGGGCUUUGCUGACGCUGAUGCGCGAAAGCGUGGGGAGCGUAGUCCG
rnacentral:rRNA from 1 species